UGCCCGGCAACUCCUAUUCCUACCUCCUCGCGGUACUGGCCGCAAACUAUGAGCAACCUUAGGGAAGCCAACGCCGGUGGGAACUUUGGUCGUAGGCUGACAGAGAAGG
rnacentral:ribozyme from 1 species